ACGAACGCUGGCGGCGUGCUUCACACAUGCACGUCGAACGGAAAGGCCCUGCUUUUGUGGGGUUCUCGAGUGGCGAACGGGUGAGUAACACGUGAGUAACCUGCCCUUGACUUUGGGAUAACUUCAGGAAACUGGGGCUAAUACCGGAUAGGAGCUCCUGCUGCAUGGUGGGGGUUGGAAAGUUUCGGCGGUUGGGGAUGGACUCGCGGCUUAUCAGCUUGUUGGUGGGGUAGUGGCUUACCAAGGCUUUGACGGGUAGCCGGCCUGAGAGGGUGACCGGCCACAUUGGGACUGAGAUACGGCCCAGACUCCUACGGGAGGCAGCAGUGGGGAAUAUUGCACAAUGGGCGGAAGCCUGAUGCAGCAACGCCGCGUGCGGGAUGACGGCCUUCGGGUUGUAAACCGCUUUCGCCUGUGACGAAGCGUGAGUGACGGUAAUGGGUAAAGAAGCACCGGCUAACUACGUG
rnacentral:rRNA from 1 species